rnacentral:lncRNA from 10 species
GUUCAUUCCUUAGGUAAAAUUGUGAAGAAGAGGAAGUCUGCAUGGCCAUUUGUGCAAAUAAGGCAUGUUGGGUAGUAAGUAGCAGAACACACACCUCAAAUUGGCUUCAAAUAGUGAUGGCAAGCAUUAUUUACAUCACAGAGGGGCAGACAAUGCAGUGGCUGAUCAGAGCUUUCCUGAUACCAUCAUGCUUUUUAGAGGCCUCUGCUCUGCCAGCCUGGGAGUCAUCUUCACCCUCAGGCUGGUAGACUCCAGUCUCUUAGGUCAGAAUGGGAUUAGAGACCCGUUCCUGAACCAGUCACACACAGCGGGUGAAACUGCUAUGAUUGGUUUAGACUUAGAGACUGGAAUGGAUGCUGGCCUAGAAGCGAAGACACAUAGAAGCAAUGUGUACCUAGACUGUUGUCCUAAAUGCCAUUUCCUACCAGGAAGGAACCAGAGUCUUUGCAGAAAUGUAUCAUUUCACAUCUGGAAUCUUCAGAAAGGCAAAGUCUCCUGGUUGCUCCCAAGAUUGGC